rnacentral:rRNA from 1 species
AUCGGUGGUCAACCAACGUUAAUGCACCGGAUCCCAUCAGAACUCCACAGUUAAGCGCGCUUGGGCUAGAGUAGUACUGGGAUGGGUGACCUCCCGGGAAUUCCUAGUGUUGCACCCU